ensembl:lncRNA
GGGAGGACCCACGGGGUAGCGGGAGGCCCACGGGGAACGGGGGUAACGGGAGGCCCACGAGGUAACGGGGGAUAACGGGAGGCCCACGAGGUAACGGGGGGAUAACGGGAGGCCCACGGGGUAGCGGGAGGCCCACAGGGGAGGCAGUGUCUGUCAGCCCUCCAGGUCUAGUUUGACCUCACAGGGGAACAGGAGGCCACAGGGGAGGCAGUGUCUGUCAGCCCUCCAGGUCUAGUUUGACCUCACAGGGGAACAGGAGGCCACAGGGGAGGCAGACAGUGUCUGUCAGCCCUCCAGGUCUAGUUUGACCUCACAGGGGAAUAGGGGGCCACAGGGGAACAGGACAGUGUCUGUCAGCCCUCCAGGUCUAGUUUGACCUCACAUCUCCUGGUUAAAUGGAACUGGGGGGAACAGGACAGUGUCUGUCAGCCCUCCAGGUCUCGUUUGACCUCACAUCUCCCUGGUUAAAUGGAACUGGACUCGUCACUCGCUGCUUCUCAAUGUUUUAUGGAGUGUCUGUAUGUUAUUAUUUGAUCACAUUUUAAAACUACUUAUGUGUUGAUCUCUAAAUACCC